AGGGGGUACUGUAAGUACGUACGAUUUUUUUAACGUAGUACGAACGGUACUCACUAU
rnacentral:pre_miRNA from 1 species